GACGAACGCUGGCGGCGUGCUUAACACAUGCAAGUCGAACGGAAAGGCCCUGCUUUUGUGGGGUGCUCGAGUGGCGAACGGGUGAGUAACACGUGAGUAACCUGCCCUUGACUUUGGGAUAACUUCAGGAAACUGGGGCUAAUACCAGAUAGGAGCUCCUGCUGCAUGGUGGGGGUUGGAAAGUUUCGGCGGUUGGGGAUGGACUCGCGGCUUAUCAGCUUGUUGGUGGGGUAGUGGCUUACCAAGGCUUUGACGGGUAGCCGGCCUGAGAGGGUGACCGGCCACAUUGGGAUUGAGAUACGGCCCAGACUCCUACGGGAGGCAGCAGUGGGGAAUAUUGCACAAUGGGCGGAAGCCUGAUGCAGCAACGCCGCGUGCGGGAUGACGGCCUUCGGGUUGUAAACCGCUUUCGCCUGUGACGAAGCGUGAGUGACGGUAAUGGGUAAAGAAGCACCGGCUAACUACGUG
rnacentral:rRNA from 1 species